rnacentral:rRNA from 1 species
UUUAGAAUAUUGGACAAUGGAGGAAACUCUGAUCCAGUGACGUCGCGUGAAGGAAGAAGGUCUUCGGAUUGUAAACUUAUUUUGUCAGGGAAGAUAAUGACAGUACCUGAAGAAAAAGGACCGGCAAACUACGUGCCAGCAGCCGCGGUAAUACGUAGGGUCCAAGCGUUAUCCGGAUUUACUGGGUUUAAAGGGCGAGUAGACGGCGCUAAAAGUCAGAUGUGAAAACUAGGGGCUCAACCCCAAGACUGCAUCUGAAACUUUAGUGCUAGAGUACAGGAGAGGUAAGUGGAAUUCCUAGUGUAGCGGUGAAAUGCGUAGAUAUUAGGAGGAACACCAGUGGCGAAGGCGACUUACUGGACUGUAACUGACGUUGAGGCGCGAAAGUGUGGGGAGCAAACA